GGACCUCCAAUCUUCACAACCAACAUACCAAGGUCAGGCUCUCCUUUUGUUAUAUGCAUAUGAUCAAUCUGCCCAAUUCCCCCACUGAACAUUAUGGGCUUCAACCAUUCUCGCCUUUCUCCACUUGGAAGUCUCAUUCCAAAAGUUCUAGUAUACCCCUGAAUUAAGGGCUCCCCGAAUUUGUUUCCAUAGUCUGAUGCCCCAUUACUGGCAUCAAUAAGAAUCUGCAAAGGAGAUGCCAAGUUUGAUGGAUAUGAGAAAGAAUGAUCCUCCCAUGGAGCAAAAGAACCCUCUAUAUUCAGAUUCCCAACGCAGUAACCAGCUGUAGCUGCAAUAACAAAUGAACCCCUACCUGUUGCGUGGGUAUCCCUAAUUCUACCGCCAGCACCAGUCUCUGCCCCAGGAUAAGGAGCCACAGCGCAAGGGAAAUUAUGGGUUUCAGCUGUAAAUAAAAUAUCAAGGUCACGAGUAGUUGCAUUCAGUGGACAUGUCAAACCAGGCUGAACUGGUCGCAACUGCUUUACAGGGAAACCCUUGAUUGCACUAGAAUUAUCCUUGAAGCCAAUUACAGAAUUGUUUUGCAAGGUGCUCUUCACAAUCUGCAUAAGAGUUCUAUCCAUGGGCUGUCCAUCAAUAACAAUCUUCCCAGUAAAAAACCAGUGCCUACUAUGCUCACUGUUGGAUUGAGCAAUGUCAAACAAUUCCACUGUUGUUGGAUUCCGUUUGAUAUCAUCCUUGAACAGCCUAGUGUAAUACUGCAAAUCUUGCUCAUCAAAAGCUAAUCCCAUCUCCUGAUUAAUCUCUUCCAAAGCUUUCCUACCCUUCUCUAUAACAGGCACGUAUCGUACUUCCUCAGGAACCACAUUAGUCUCAAAAGAUGUCAGCCUCUGAGUAUAAACACAUUCAGUCAUCCGAUCAUGAACCAAGGCAGCAAACUCAUUAAGUUGAUCUUCUUGCAACACUCCCUUACUAUAGAGCAAGUACCUCCUCGACCGUUCCAUUCGAGUCACUUCUGUUAACCCACAAGCACAACAAAUUGACACGGCAUUUGCAGACCAAGCUGUUGUAAAAGACAACCUAGGCCCAACCUCAACUACAACAGUAUUCAAUCCUUCUUUCCUCUUCUUCUCAAGAAAGCUCUCAGUCCCCAAAUUCUCUGGCUCAUACGUUUCCUGAAGAAGCCACCUAAGUACUCCAAGCUUCUCAUCCGAAAUCUCAGAUUGAAGACCAAUAUUAAAAC
rnacentral:misc_RNA from 1 species